CACAUGCAAGUCGAACGAGGUAGCAAUACCUAGUGGCGGACGGGUGAGUAACGCGUGGGAAUCUGCCUUUAGAUGGGGGAUAACGGGUCGAAAGACUCGCUAAUACCGCAUAUGACGAAAGUUGAAAGGAGUAAUCCGUCUAAAGAUGAGCCCGCGUCCGAUUAGCUAGUUGGUAGAGUAAAAGCCUACCAAGGCGACGAUCGGUAGCUGGUCUGAGAGGAUGAUCAGCCACAAUGGGACUGAGACACGGCCCAUACUCCUACGGGAGGCAGCAGUGGGGAAUUUUACGCAAUGGGCGAAAGCCUGACGUAGCGACACCGCGUGAGCGAAGAAGCCCCUUGGGGUGUAAAGCUCUGUCAGCUGGAACGAAAAAAUGACGGUACCAGCAGAGGAAGCAUCGGCUAACUACGUG
rnacentral:rRNA from 1 species